AUGUUGCUCCUGGUAUUGACUAUAUUUUAUCUUCUAAAAGGGGAUGCUGGUGAGGAAGUGAUAUCAUCACUGUCCACAGAACAGAUUGUUUUGGCUGGAAAAAAUGCCACACUUUCCUGCAAAUACAAUGGCAAUGUUUACAAUUUGCAGUGGUAUCGACAGUAUCCCGGAUCCAAACCUGAGAAUAUCAUUUUUCACACUGAGAGCAAAAAUCAGUCAGACUUCAAGCUUCGCCUGCUUGCUGUGGGUGAGAAAGGAAUGAAACGUAUGAAUUUGAGCAUAUUUCAUACAGAGAUGCAGGAUUCUGCUCUUUACUACUGUGCCCUGCAGCCCACAGUGACAGGAAACACAGAAACACUCAACAAAAACAGAAUGAUUAUAAAUAAAAGAAUAAAACAAACUUUACAACAAAUUAAACAAUACAGAAUGACGUGA